CUACAUGCGACCUUUUCUUUUUCACACUUUUCCUUUCCCCUCAUUUUGAAGUUAUUUUGGUUAGGUGAUUGGAAUUAUUGGUAUGACACGUCACACACACAUCCCGUAGAGAGAGAUGUUUUGGGUGAGAAACCAUCAUCUUCUUCCUAUAAAAGCCAACCCUUCUCCUUUACAAAUCCGCACCUCCAUAAACCACCUACUGCCUCCAUCAUAGAUAAUCCUCCAUACAUGAAAUCACCAAUUUACAUAUGCAUCACCUUCAAGCUAAACCCACAGUAGCAAGAAAAAGAGCCGCCAUGACAUGAUAUACCUUCCCUUUUCACAAUUCUUUAACUGACUCACCAUGAUAUGCCCCCCGAUUCAUGUUACUUGUACUCCCUGUUGGGCCGCAAGAGGAUAAACCGGGGGAUCAUCACAUUGGGCUUACAUGAGCACACCAAAGUGGAUUGGACACCACAUCUUUCACCCAAAACCUUAAGGCAUUAGGUGUAUGGGUCCUCUCACUUAUAAAGUGCUCAUCACUCCUCUAAUCUUCCAAUGUGGGACUUCUUUACUCACACUUGACAUCCCAACACUCCCAACUUUAGUUGUAGCCGAAUGCCCUUGUCACCCAGAAGAAGAUGAAGAUAGGUGUUUUUGUAUUCCACUUCUUGGCAAAGUGAUAAUCCAGGUCUAGUUGGUAUUUCCAUCCCAUUUUUUGGGAAAAUAAUAUAUACCUUCUCUCUCAUCCCCGAGAGAGAUAUGUUUUCUCUCUUCAAAGUAUUUUCUGCGGGAGUGAUCCUUUCGACUGCCUUUAUACAUGUGCUCCCAGAUGCCUUUGAAAGCCUCAAUUCCCCCUGUUUAGAUGAAUCAGGGAGAGAUUUUCCAUAUCCUGGGCUGAUUGCCAUGUGUUGAGCUAUGGUUUUAAUUUGGAGUUGGGGAUCGUUGCUCAUUCCAUUAUCAUAGGAAUUACUUUUUGAGCCUCAAAGAGUCCCAACACAAUAAGACCCCUCGUAGUUGCAUUAGCUUUUCAUCAGUUUUUUUAGGGUAUGGGACUUGGAAGUUCCAUAAUUCAGGUACUCUAAAAUUAUCAGUUAACACACUUAGAUAUCAACAAUGGUAAUUCAUAUUUUUUGACGAAGAAACAACAGCAUAGCAAAAGAUACUCAGAACUAUACAUUCGAAGCUUGAAGAGUUUGCCAUCAUCAUGAUGAUUUCAGGGUUUAUCUCCUCAAAUAAUUCAGGUUUGGUGACCUGUUUGAGCACUAUUUGGCGGCCCCCUCCUGACUGUUUCAAAUUAAAUACGCAUGGCAGAAAAUCGAUAAUUGCAUGUGUUGGGGUGGUCUUAUUGCAUGAUGAUCAAUAACAUAUUGGAUUUGUGGUUUUCUUUCCUUUAGAUUUGGUGGCAAGCCCUUUUUGUCGGAGGCUAAUGCUUUAUAUACUAGAACAAAGGCUAUAGGCAAGUGGUUUGUAAAUGGAUUGCGCUGAGUUGCUCACAUCCCCUGAGGACACGGAUAGUUUGCGUUUUGCGCAUGUUCUUUCGGCCGGCAAUCAACAACUUUCUUCAUCUAUUGGGAUAUUAGUUUGAGAUUGGGGCACUGUGACGCUUCUACUGAUUUUUUUUUUUUUGGCUAGGAUGGGUAGCACAUUGUCUUCUCUUGAUACUCAAGUCUUACAUAUUUCUCUUGGACCUAUAAACUCUUCUGUUGAAAGACUCUCCAGGUGUGUCAUAAUCUUUUAUUUGUAUCUUUUUUCCUUUCCGAAACACCGAAAAAUAAAUCAAAUUGAAACAA